UCUCCUUCAUACACACCAACCCACUUACACACUCUCAGAAAUACACACACACACACACACACACACACACACACACACACUCUCCUUCACACACACACACACACAUACACACACACACACACACACACACACACACACACACACACACACUCUCUCCUUCAUACACAUGAAACCCUGGUACUGUACUUCCUCUCUGUGUGCUUUGGCCCUGACUCAGCCCUGCUCCAGUGAGGUUUAACAUUACAUCACAUCAAGGGGAGGUCUGCUGCACUGCACACACACACACUCCCAGAAACACACACACACUCCCAGAAACACACACACACACACUCCCAGAAACACACACACACUCCCAGAAACACACACACACUCCCAGAAACACACACACACUCCCAGAAACACACACACACUGCCAGAAACACACACACACUCCCAGAAACACACACACACACUCCCAGAAACACACACACACUCCCAGAAACACACACACACUGCCAGGAAACACACACACACUCCCAGAAACACACACACACACUCCCAGAAACACACACACACACUCACAGAAACACACACACACUGCCAGAAACACACACACACUCCCAGAAACACACACACACUCCCAGAAACACACACACACUCCCAGAAACAUACACACACUCACAGAAACACACACACACUCCCAGAAGCACACUCUCACAGAAACACACACACACUCCCACAAAAACACUCUCUCCCAAAAACACACACACACUCCCAGAAACACACACACACACACACUCCCAGAAGCACACUCCAAGAAACAUACACACACACACUCCCAGAAACACACACACAUACACAUACACUCCCAAAAACACACACACACUCCCAGAAACACACACACACCCAGAAACAGACACACACUCCCAGAAGCACACUCUCCCAAAAACACACACACACUCCCAGAAACACACACACACACACUCUCAGAAACACACUCUCAGAAACAUACACACACACACACUCUCAGAAACAUAAACACACACACUCCCAAAACACACACUCUCAGAAACACACACACACACACACACUCUGAACACAUCAGUCAUCGGCCUCAUCCGUGAUGAUGAUGAGUCUGCAUAUAGGCGGGAAGUUGAACAGCUGGUCCUGUGGUGCGGUCGCAACAACCUAGAGCUGAACACGCUUAAAACCGUGGAGAUGAUAGUGGACAGGAGGAGCCCCCCAGCACUGCCCCCCCUCAUCAUACACAACAGUACUGUGUUGGCUGUGGAAUCCUUCAGGUUUCUGGGAUCCACAAUCUCCCGG
rnacentral:lncRNA from 1 species